AUACGGAGGGUCCAAGCGUUAUCCGGAAUCAUUGGGUUUAAAGGGUCCGCAGGCGGUCAAUUAAGUCAGAGGUGAAAGCCCAUCGCUCAACGAUGGAACUGCCUUUGAUACUGGUUGACUAGAGUUAUACGGAAGUAGAUAGAAUAAGUAGUGUAGCGGUGAAAUGCAUAGAUAUUACUUAGAAUACCGAUUGCGAAGGCAGUCUACUACGUAUAUACUGACGCUGAGGGACGAAAGCGUGGGGAGCGAACAGGAUUAGAAACCCUAGUAGUCC
rnacentral:rRNA from 1 species